AUACCUAUCUGGCAGGGGAGAUUCCAUGAUCACUAAGGUAGUUUCCCCUGGGCCAGGCUUAUCCAUUGCAUUCAGGAUGGGUUGACCCUGUGAUUUCCCCAAAUGCAGGAAAUUCAACUGCAUAAUUUGUGAUAGUGGGGGACUGCAUUCGCACUCUCCCCUG
rnacentral:snRNA from 1 species